CGUACGGCCAGAGCGGGUCGGACUGCCCGAGAGCCUCGUCCCCCAGCUGGUCGCCGUCGGCCGACAUCCCGAGCACCGUGGUCUCGCCGUACCUGCCGACGCCCAGCCGGUCGAGUUUGCCGUGCGCGAUCAGAAACACCUCGUCGACCGGCUGCCCGGCCUCCGCCAGCAGCUCGCCGGGGGCGACCGUACGGGCGGUGCACCGGCCCGCCAGCUCGACCAGCAGCCGGUCGUCCGGGAAGUCGCGGAGCAGCGGGAUCUCCCGCAGCGUCGGCGCCACCACCCGGACCUCGGAGCCGGUCUGCUCGAAUCCCACCCGGCCCUGGCCGACGGCGUGGCUCAGCCGCCGGUUCACCCGGUAGGCGCCGCCCGCGACCUCGACCCAGGGCAGCACCUUGAGCAGCCAGCGGUCGCUGAUCUCCUGCAUCUGCGGGGCGGACUUGGUGGUGGUCGCCAGUUGUCGGGCGGCCUCGGUCCCGAGGCUCUGUGG
rnacentral:antisense_RNA from 1 species